UACGUAGGGUGCAAGCGUUAAUCGGAAUUACUGGGCGUAAAGCGCGCGUAGGCGGCUCUUCAAGUCAGGCGUGAAAGCCCCGAGCUUAACUCGGGAACUGCGCUUGAUACUGUCGAGCUAGAGUGUGGAAGGGGCGAUUGGAAUUCCGUGUGUAGCGGUGAAAUGCGUAGAUAUACGGAGGAACACCUGCGGCGAAGGCGGGUUGCUGGGCCAACACUGACGCUGAGGCGCGAAAGCUAGGGUAGCAAACGGG
rnacentral:rRNA from 1 species